rnacentral:rRNA from 1 species
UGGGGAAUAUUGGACAAUGGGCGCAAGCCUGAUCCAGCAAUGCCGCGUGUGUGAAGAAGGCCUGCGGGUUGUAAAGCACUUUAAGCGGGAAAGAAGGCUUCAAGGCCAAUACCCUUGGAGAUUGACGUUACCCGCAGAAUAAGCACCGGCUAACUCCGUGCCAGCAGCCGCGGUAAUACGGAGGGUGCGAGCGUUAAUCGGAAUUACUGGGCGUAAAGCGCGCGUAGGCGGUUCGUUAAGUCAGCCGUGAAAGCCCCGGGCUUAACCUGGGAACUGCGGUUGAUACUGGCGGGCUAGAGUGUGGCAGAGGGUGGCGGAAUUUCCGGUGUAGCAGUGAAAUGCGUAGAGAUCGGAAGGAACACCAGUGGCGAAGGCGGCCAUCUGGGCCAACACUGACGCUGAGGUGCGAAAGCGUGGGGAGCAAACAGG